AUUCCGAUAACGAACGAGACUCUAGCCUGCUAAAUAGGUGACGGGUUUUAUCAAUUGAAACCGAAGGGAGUACGGAGGCGUCGGGAUCAGGUGGCGGCGAUUCGGGUCUCGGUGGGACUGGUUCCUUUAGUGAGGCACACUCUCGGCUUGGAUUUCGUUGUGCUUUAUUUGUUGGGUGUACGGCCUUCACGGGUUGGUUGCCUGAUGGGUGAGGUAUGGCGGGGUCUUUGUCGGGAAUGUCUCGCGGGGGCUGGCUCUAUUGUUAUUCGGUCGUCGUCAUCCCCGGCGAUACCUUCUGCUCUCGCGUCCGUCACGCAGUCUUC
rnacentral:rRNA from 1 species